GAACGUCGUGAGACAGUUCGGUCCCUAUCUGCCGUGGGUGUAGGAGACUUGCGAGGAUCUGUCCCUAGUACGAGAGGACCGGGAUGGACGUACCUCUGGUGUACCAGUUGUGCCGCCAGGCGCAUCGCUGGGUAGCUAAGUGCGGACGGGAUAACUGCUGAAGGCAUCUAAGCAGGAAACCCCCCUCUAAACGAGGUCUCCCUCGAGGGCCGUGCCAGACCAGCACGUUGAUAGGCCGCAGGUGGAAGC
rnacentral:rRNA from 1 species